AGCGGGGUGGAGGAGCAGUACCUCGUCAGGCUCAUAACCUGAAGGCGCCGGCGCAAAUCCGGCCCCCGCAACAA
rnacentral:tRNA from 1 species